AAUGGGCGAAAGCCUGACGGAGCAACGCCGUGUGAGGGAUGAAGGCCUCUGGGCUGUAAACCUCUUUUAUCAAGGAAGAAGAUCUGACGGUACUUGAUGAAUAAGCCACGGCUAAUUCCGUGCCAGCAGCCGCGGUAAUACGGGAGUGGCAAGCGUUAUCCGGAAUUAUUGGGCGUAAAGCGUCCGCAGGCGGCCCUUCAAGUCUGCUGUUAAAAAGUGGAGCUUAACUCCAUCAUGGCAGUGGAAACUGUUGGGCUUGAGUGUGGUAGGGGCAGAGGGAAUUCCCGGUGUAGCGGUGAAAUGCGUAGAUAUCGGGAAGAACACCAGUGGCGAAGGCGCUCUGCUGGCCAUCACUGACGCUCAUGGACGAAAGCCAGGGGAGCGAAAGGGAUU
rnacentral:rRNA from 1 species